rnacentral:misc_RNA from 1 species
UGAACGCACCUUGCACCCUUUGGUAUUCCGAAGGGUAUGCCCGUUUGAGUGUCAUUGUAAUCUCACACCAACUUUUAUUAGUUGGAGGUGGACUUGGAGGUUGCUGUUGAAAAACAGCUCUUCUUAAAUGUAUUAGUGCGGCUCUGGUUGGACUUAAGCCCGAUGUAAUAAAAAUUUCAUCGUGGUGUCUAAUCAAAUCGAGUCUGUGCUUCUAACCGUCUUCGGACAAACUACUUGACAACUUGGCCUCAAAUCGGGUAGGACUACCCGCUGAACUUAA